rnacentral:rRNA from 1 species
CUCUACAAUGCGGGAAACCGUGAUAAGGGACACCGAGUGCCAGCAUCAUACGUUGGCUGUCCAGAUGUGUAAAAUACAUCUGUUAGCAAGGGCCGGGCAAGACCGGUGCCAGCCGCCGCGGUAACACCGGCGGCCCGAGUGGUGAUCGUGAUUAUUGGGUCUAAAGGGUCCGUAGCCGGUUUGGUCAGUCCUCCGGGAAAUCUGACGGCUCAACCGUUAGGCUUUCGGUGGAUACUGCCAGACUUGGAACCGGGAGAGGUAAGAGGUACUACGAGGGGUAGGAGUGAAAUCUUGUAAUCCUUGAAGGACCACCAGUGGCGAAGGCGUCUCACCAGAACGGACCUGACGGCAAGGGACGAAAGCUA